CAGCCGCCGCGGUAAUACGAAGGGGGCUAGCGUUGUUCGGAUUUACUGGGCGUAAAGCGCACGUAGGCGGAUCCUUAAGUCAGAGGUGAAAUCCCAAGGCUCAACCUUGGAACUGCCUUUGAUACUGGGGAUCUCGAGUUCGGGAGAGGUGAGUGGAACUGCGAGUGUAGAGGUGAAAUUCGUAGAUAUUCGCAAGAACACCAGUGGCGAAGGCGGCUCACUGGCCCGAUACUGACGCUGAGGUGCGAAAGCGUGGGGAGCAAACAGGAUUAGAUACCCGUGUAGUCCCUGUCUCUUAUAC
rnacentral:rRNA from 1 species